rnacentral:rRNA from 1 species
AAACUUAAACGAAAUUGACGGAAGCGCCCCACCAGGGGUGGAGCCUGCGGCUUAAUUUGACUCAACACGGGGAAACUCACCAGGUCCAGACACGAUGAGGAUUGACAGAUUGAGAGCUCUUUCUUGAUUUCGUGGGUGGUGGUGCAUGGCCGUUCUUAGUUGGUGGAGUGAUUUGUCUGCUUAAUUGCGAUAACGAACGCGACCUUAACCUGCUAAAUAGCCCGUAUUGCUUUGGCAGUACGCCGGCUUCUUAGAGGGACUAUCGGCUCAAGCCGAUGGAAGUUUGAGGCAAUAACAGGUCUGUGAUGCCCUUAGAUGUUCUGGGCCGCACGCGCGCUACACUGACAGAGCCAGCGAGUACUCCCUUGGCCGAAAGGCCCGGGUGAUCUUGUUAAACUCUGUCGUGCUGGGGAUAGAGCAUAGCAAUUAUUGCUCUUCAACGAGGAAUCCCUAGUAAGCGCAAGUCAUCAGCUUGCGUUGAUUACGUCCCUGCCCUUUGUACACACCGCCCGUCGCUACUACCGAUUGAAUGGCUAAGCC